ensembl:piRNA 21ur-850 ncRNA
UGUUCUCGGUUUUUGGUAGUG